rnacentral:rRNA from 1 species
GACGAACGCUGGCGGCGUGCCUAACACAUGCAAGUCGAGCGACGAACCAGGGCUUGCUCUCGGGCAAAGCAGCGAACGGGUGAGUAAUGCCUGGGGAACCGACCCAGAUAACCGGAACAAGUCCAGGAAACUGGGGCUAUCACCGGACCUGCUCACUGGACCUCGGUUCAGUGCGUAAGUGGAGCUUCGUCCUCCUUAGCGUAAGGGGCCCGCGGCCCAUUAAUUUGUUGGUGAGGUAACAGCCGACCAAGACCGCGUGGGGUAGCGGGUCGGAGAGGACGAUCAGCCACACUGGAACUGAGACACGGCCCAGACUCCUACGGGAGGCAGCAGUGGGGAAUCUUGCGCAAUGCGCGAAAGCGUGACGCAGCAACGCCGCGUGGGGGAAGAAGGACUUCGGAUUGUAAAGCCCUUUAAGGAGGGAGGAAGGUAAGUAGGUGAAUACCCGACCGGAAUGACGGUACCUACACAAGAAGCCCCGGCUAACUACGUG